CUGCCUUUCACCUCAACUGCUUCAAAGGACUCUUCAGUCUGUGAACAAGAGGACACUGGAAUCAACUUUCUCCAUGUUACUCAGGUCAAAGGUUUUAUGAUGCCACAAAGAGAUCAUCUGCAUUCUGCUCACCACAAGAACAGAUGGGUCACAGGGAAGGUGGAUCUGUGACUCAUUACCUCACAGAACCUGCAGAGGCUGUCUGAGUGUCAGGCAAACUUCUGGGAUCAAUAGGGUUGGAGGCAAGGCAGCGCCUGCCAGUAGGUCUUAAAGAAAGUCAUUAGUCAACCAGUGACCUGGCAACCCCGCGACAGUAGCCCUCUGAAGUGGAUUCUCAGAAAGGGAGUAGGCGAGUCAGUAUCAUGAAGAGCCUAAUAUCUGGCCAGAUUGAAAGCAGAGGCAAAGGACCCACAGCUCUGCCAUUCACCCUGACUAAAGCCAAGAGUGCCAGUUCCUCAGAUCAGUGCAGCCCUCAUCGGAGAAGUUUCUUUGUGCAGUGGAUGGUGGACAGUGCAGAAACCCACAACUGACCUCGGUGCAGAGAACAGGUAGAAACCCAGACACAAAGACAACACACUUGUAGAUCUUGCAGAACUUGAAGCAGCCUCAGUAAAGAGAAGGGGAAUUUCUUGCCCUCCUGAUUCACCCAGAGCAAGGCAACCUCAGAAGAGUAAGUCAGCCCCGUUCCAGGGGCCUGGUCAUUCUCCGGAAUUUCUCCAGCAAGACUAUGAAAAGGAAGCCAGCCGCACUGCUGCAUAAUUUAUACACAGUUCACUGCGCCCACACUGCCAGGCCCCACUCUCAAGGGAAACCUUUUGUUCUCUGCUUGGGGAAUGUAGAACCUGGAGAGUCUCAGUUGAGCAAGCCAGGGAAAAACAGAAUAAUUAGAGUUAAGGAUGGGGAUAAAUUACUAAGAUAUUCCUGGCUGCAGCCUUUGGCACUUCGUGGGCCUGUGAUGGCUCUGUGUUUUUCAAAGCAUCCAAAGGACAGAGUUACCAGCACUGAAGAUAUCGCUCAAGGAGAGAUAUAACAAUGGCUCAGGCUGGACUACUAAUCACAUCAGCAAAGGGACAAGAGGGGCUUCUUUCUGAAGAAAUACCACUGUACCAAUUGGAGCUACUUCUGUUAGCAAGCUGUCAGAACUCAGGCUUGUUAAUGCCGGCUCUGCACUUCAUCAACACUUGCUGACAGGUUCCUGACAGACCAUAAUAAUACAAGUGCAGGGCAAUAUUAAGUUGCCUUUUCAGUUAGACUUGCUGGUAACAGCUCAAAUGUGGCCAUGACAACAUGAAAAGAAUAAAUAAGCUGAAGUAGUUUUCCCAUGCUCUCAGAGAAAGACAUCUCACUGUCAAAAACAAAAGAUAAAAAGCCGUUGCCAAAAUAUUCCAAAAUCUGAGUGAAAUCCUUGGGUUUGAGGAUUAACAUUUGACUGAAAUCAUUUUAAAUGAUAUUAAUUAGGGGUAAUAUGAAAAGCAGUGGACAAGCAGAGAGGGAUGGAAUGCUUGUGCAAGGCACUGUGCACUGUCUGUGUGGGCUACUAAACCUCACAGUAACCUUGAGAAGAUAACGCCACAGCCCCGUGUGACAGAAAAGGACAAAGAGCUCAGCAAGGUGGAGCAAUUACUUGAAUCCAUUAGGAAGGAGUGGGCAAAAGCUGAUACCUUGUUCUGAUCAAUUAAAGUCUACUACUAAAGCCA